rnacentral:rRNA from 1 species
UAGGGAAUCUUGCGCAAUGGGCGAAAGCCUGACGCAGCGACGCCGCGUGAGGGAUGAAGGCCUUCGGGUUGUAAACCUCUUUCAGCAGGGACGAAGCCUUCGGGUGACGGUACCUGCAGAAGAAGCCCCGGCCAACUACGUGCCAGCAGCCGCGGUAAUACGUAGGGGGCAAGCGUUGUCCGGAUUUAUUGGGCGUAAAGAGCGCGUAGGCGGCCGACCGCGUCGGAUGUGAAAGCUCGGGGCUCAACCCUGAGAGGCCAUUCGAUACGGGUCGGCUAGAGGCAGGUAGGGGAAAGUGGAAUUCCUGGUGUAGCGGUGAAAUGCGCAGAUAUCAGGAGGAACACCGGUGGCGAAGGCGGCUUUCUGGGCCUGUCCUGACGCUGAGGCGCGAAAGCUGGGGGAGCAAACAG